rnacentral:rRNA from 1 species
UACGUAUGGUGCAAGCGUUAUCCGGAUUUACUGGGUGUAAAGGGAGCGUAGGCGGCCCUGCAAGUCAGUCGUGAAAGCCCGGGGCUUAACCCCUUGACUGCGCUUGAAACUGUGGGGCUGGAGUACAGGAGAGGCAGGCGGAAUUCCUAGUGUAGCGGUGAAAUGCGUAGAUAUUAGGAAGAACACCGGUGGCGAAGGCGGCCUGCUGGACUGACACUGACGCUGAGGCUCGAAAGCGUGGGGAGCAAAC